GACGAACGCUGGCGGCGUGCUUAACACAUGCAAGUCGAACGAAGUGGCGAACGGGUGAGUAACGCGUAAUCAACCUGCCCUUCAGAGGGGGACAACAGUUGGAAACGCCUGCUAAUACCGCCUACUGCCGUCGGUGCUUGCGUCAGAUUAGCUAGUUGGAGGGGUAACGGCCCACCAGGGCGAUGAUCAGUAGCCGGUCUGAGAGGAUGAACGGCCAAAUUGGGACUGAGACACGGCCCAGACUCCUACGGGAGGCAGCAGUGGGGAAUCUGCCGCAAUGGACGAAAGUCUGACGGAGCAACGCCGCGGGAGUGAUGACGGCCUUCGGGUUGUAAAGCUCUGUUAAUCGGGACGCGGUACCGGAAUAGAAAGCCACGGCUAACUACGUGCCAGCAGCCGCGGUAAUAC
rnacentral:rRNA from 1 species